rnacentral:lncRNA from 1 species
AGAUUUAGAUAAAUGGAGAGAGAGAGAGAGAGAGCUCAUGGUCUCCUAAUUGGUAGAUUAGAAAUUCUAUCCAUGAAAAUAUUCUUUAAUUUACUAUCAAUAUUUAAUGUAAUUCCAAUUAAAGUAGGGACAUAACUGUGAGGAAUUAAGUUAGAUCUAAUUAGUCCAAUUUUUCUGAAGAAGGAGCCAGUGAUCUGUAAUGAGAAUUACAAAUCUUUUCAUGCUCUAAUAUUUAAGUUACUAAUGUGGAAAUUGAGGAUUAAUCCUUUAAUUUAGUUUUGGUGCGAUGGCGUCAUGAGGAACUAGUCACUUAUGAAUUCACUCAAAUUUUAGUUAAUUGAAACAAGAAUUUACCUGGAAGAAAUGGGGAUCUCUUAUGUUCAGUGUUAUAAUCGCUGGAGCACUCAGUGCAUUAAUUCUGUAACCCAUUUUGCCUAGUGGUCUGCAGUCGACAUGGAUUGUGCAGCAUCUGAUGUCACCAGAUGAUACCAGUCGUGGGAACAAAAGUGGCUGAGCUCAGACCACUGCUCUGUCCCUAAGUGCUUGGUGCAGAGCUCAACUCUCCCUCUGGGAUGCAGAACAGGGCGACUUAUCUGGUAGCCCGGAAUACCAGAUGGCCUGGCCAUGCCCCAAAGGAACAAAGGCAGCCAGUCCCGGUCCUAGCACAGUGCCCAGAGCUCAGAGGAAUGUGUGACAGGCAAGGACCCUGGAUUCCCUCAUCGACUGUCAUCCUUAGAGGAGCAAGAUGCACUCUCUCCUUCUGGCCAGGAACCUUUCCUUCUGUAGCUUUUCUGCAAUUAAACAAGUUCAUGGAGAGGAGAGAUUUUCCUACUCAGCCUGGUUCACUAAACGGAGUGCUUGAAAAAAGCUUGAAAAAAUUUAAAUAAUUCUGAGCAUCCACUCAACUUCCCAUUCAUAUUUGCUGUUACUUAAGCAAAGCAAUGCAGGCCCGAAUUUCAGGGAAGACGGCUUUUGAGAUAAACUGACUUCUUUCUGUUAACUAAAUAUUUCCUUACCAUUUGCCUUCAGGUACUGAUUUAUUUACCUUAGAGUAUAGCUUUUUAAAUGCUGAUCUUUUAAUUGCCUCAUGUAAAUGAUGUGAAAUUCGGUUUACUCCUUUUAUAACUCAGUAGACUUUAUUUAUGUCCUUUUUUAUCUGAUCUCGUUUAAAGUAAUAUAAUGAUUGUUAUUGAAGACUUUAAAAUAUUCUGCCCUCAAAAAAUUUUAAUGAAGUUGAAGGCAAAAACAUUUACACAUGAGCACUUCAAACAAUAAAGAAGAUUUAUAUACAUUCCACACACAUACCUAUAGAUACACACAUUCACCACCACCACACACCCACAUAUGUAUAUGUAUAUAAACAAAACAAUGUGCUAUAAUUUACACAAUUACUAGUGCAGACAUGAAGAAAAUGAUAGAUGCAAUGUGGGAGUUAGUCUAGGAAAUCCCUCCCUUCCUUCUUCCCUUCAUUCCUUCCUUCCUUCCUCCCUCCCUU